AGCUUACGGCCAAGGAGCGAUCACCGAUGCUGAUUGACGCGUGUGCUAUACGCAGCCUUUCAAUUCGUCCAGACGCCGCGUCCAGACGAUUAUUUUAUAACGAAAAAAUCAAAAAGGAAAAGAAGGAUGCUGUAGAACAGGAAGACCUAUUUAUCAUACGACGAGGCCCAGCCGAUCGAAACUGCUUUCCGGUAAAGCCACACUCCGAAUGAGCAUGCGCAUUAAACAAUCACGUAAAAUUCACGCUGGCCGCCUCUAAAGGAUAGAAUUCUCCAGGGAUUAAUUCCGUUGCAUCCGUGGUUGUAGUUCAUCUCGAUUAACCAUCGUUAUAUAGACACACCUUUGGCCUGAUUGUCCGGAUUCGAGAUCCGGAUUGCGAAAUUCGAGAAAAUUUGGUUUUUAAAGCGA